rnacentral:rRNA from 1 species
CAUGGUUGUCGUCAGCUCGUGUCGUGAGAUGUUGGGUUAAGUCCCGCAACGAGCGCAACCCCUACUUGUUAGUUGCCAUCAUUCAGUUGGGCACUCUAGCGAGACUGCCGGUAAUAAACCGGAGGAAGGUGGGGAUGACGUCAAAUCAUCAUGCCCCUUAUGACCUGGGCUACACACGUGCUACAAUGGUUGGUACAACGAGUUGCGAGUCGGUGACGGCGAGCUAAUCUCUUAAAGCCAAUCUCAGUUCGGAUUGUAGGCUGCAACUCGCCUACAUGAAGUCGGAAUCGCUAGUAAUCGCGGAUCAGCACGCCGCGGUGAAUACGUUCCCGGGCCUU